AUAAAUUAAAAUAUAAAAUAUAAGUAUAUUAAAUAUAGAAUAACCGCAUAAAAGUAAACCAUAAAUAUGUUAAUAUAAUCUACAAAACUUUGUACCACCAUGAACAUACAAUUAGACUAAAUCAUAACAAUAGCUUCAAUUCAAUUUAAUUCAGAAGAAGAACAAAUGAGAGAAUGAAAGAAUGAAUGAAUGAACCACUGAUCAGUGAAGUUAUUAAUUCAAGAAAUUAAAUAAUGUAGUAAAUAGGAAAGCGUUAAGGAUAAAGUGAAAGCCGUGACCACCAUAAAUAAUAAAGUAACGCAGUGUGAUACAAUGCAAUGUGACGUCAUAUAACAUAAAACAAAUGAAAUAUAAUGAAAUAGAAUACAAAAUUCAAGAAGUGGGCUCACUAAAAUAUAACUGUGAAGAUUAUUAAUGAAAUACUCUAUUCCUUUACACAAGUAAAUUAUAAGUUAAAUUGUGAGCGGUAUUUGGUGAAUGAUAAAUGGUCAUGUCAAUGCAAAUGCAAAUAGAACCGAUUAUUGCAUGACAUUUCAAAAAAGUGGGUAAAUAGCAAAUAAAUCAAAUCAAAUGUAGACUGCGUAGUUCAAUUAACGCUGUGCUACUGUAUAGCGUAGAGAUAAAUAAAUAACUCAACAAGUAGAGUAUUAAAAACUAACAUUUAAAAUGGUGAAUUAAACAGAAACCAUGCACCUUCAAAGCACUUGAAUAGACAAAACCAUUCAGCAUCACAGAAAAAUAACAAAAUUAAGAUAAAUUAAAAUAAAUUAAGAUAAAGUAAGAUAAAGAUAAAUCAAGUCAAAUCAAAUCACCAACUUCAGCUGAUCAGAGUGGAUGAAUGGAUGAAUGGAUCAAGGAAGGAAGAGAGAAACAGCAGAAUACCAGCAAGUACAAGUAAGAAUCACAACCCCAAUGUGUCAAAGCAGUAUCAAAACCAGCAUGCAAGGACUAGUUAAACGAAAUAACAAAUAAGAGAGCUGAAUUGCAACUGAAAAGGAAAAGAAAAGGAGAAAGAAAGGAAACAAGAAACAGCCCAUCGUCAUGGAAGAGCAACAUUAUGACCAGAGAGAGACAUCAUGGAUAAAUUGAAUUAAAGAAUAUCAAGAACAUCAAAAUGUCCAAUGAAUAUCAAGAAUGCACAGGCAAAUCAAAAACCAAUCAACCAAUCAAAACCAAAUCAAGAAGCGAUAAUGAAAUAAGUAAAUAGCAAUAACAGUGAUAAUGUGGCACAGAUAAAUUAAUAUAUAUAAGUAUAAGUAGAUUAAAUUAUAGAAUAUAGAAUAAAGAAUAACCAUAUGGAAAUAAAUCAUAAAUAUAUUAAUACAAUCUACAGAACUACAGAACUUUGUACCAUCAUGAGUUAAAUAAAUAAACUAAGUCAUAACAAUUA